AAACGUCCGAGGCGUCUGUAUUGAGGUGCGUCUCGAGGCGAGACAGGAAGAAAUCGUUUUUGAGGCGGCGCAUCGCUGGUUAAUUAUGUUGUAAAUCACAUGAAAACCCACUGGAUCAUUUUGUCUUUUUAAAUGUUUCUAGUUACAUUGUCCUAAAUAAUCCCACUUUCUCUGCAGUCGCAUACCCCAACAGUAUUGACAAAAGAGAUCACUCUUGCAGUGUCAUUCUUGAUUCAUUUGAGCUUUGGUAAAUUAGUUUCACUGGUAUAAUCAUUGUUUUUGUUCAUCACCGGUUCAUGAGAUGGAUUCCAAGAUUUUGAAGAACUAGAGGUAUGCAAGGAAGCACACGAAAUAGAGUGGGAAAUUUCUAUAGAAGAAUAUAUGUUUUCAGACUUUGACAGCUCUAGCAACUUCCUUUCAUGCGCUACAACCUUUGACAGAUUCUAUAUCUCGCUUUGUAUGGGUUAAGUUACUAAGUGACAAAUUUCCAGCCAAAACCCUGAGUAGAAAUGGUCAGAAGAGGUGGCCAUAGUUCCAACAUUUGAUGGUAGACAUGCUUAAUAGAGCCUUUCUUGAGGAAUGCUUUACUA